GACGAACGCUGGCGGCGUGCUUAACACAUGCAAGUCGAACGGAAAGGCCCUGCUCUUGUGGGGUGCUCGAGUGGCGAACGGGUGAGUAACACGUGAGUAACCUGCCCUUGACUUUGGGAUAACUUCUGGAAACUGGGGCUAAUACCGGAUAGGAUCUCCUGCUGCAUGGUGGGGGUUGGAAAGUUUCGGCGGUUGGGGAUGGACUCGCGGCUUAUCAGCUUGUUGGUGGGGUAGUGGCUUACCAAGGCUUUGACGGGUAGCCGGCCUGAGAGGGUGACCGGCCACAUUGGGACUGAGAUACGGCCCAGAAUCCUACGGGAGGCAGCAGUGGAGAAUAUUGCACAAUGGGCGGAAGCCAGAUGCAGCAACGCCGCGUGCGGGAUGACGGCCUUCGGGUUGUAAACCGCUUUCGCCUGUGACGAAGCGUGAGUGACGGUAAUGGGUAAAGAAGCACCGGCUAACUACGUG
rnacentral:rRNA from 1 species